rnacentral:rRNA from 1 species
AUUCUCUGAGGAGAAAGCAGGGGCUCGUAAGACCUUGCGCUUUUGGAGCGGCCGAUGCCUGAUUAGCUUGUUGGUGGGGUAAUGGCUUACCAAGGCGACGAUCAGUAGUUGGUCUGAGAGGACGACCAGCCACACUGGGACUGAGACACGGCCCAGACUCCUACGGGAGGCAGCAGUGGGGAAUUUUGGACAAUGGGCGAAAGCCUGAUCCAGCAAUGCCGCGUGAGUGAAGAAGGCCUUCGGGUUGUAAAGCUCUUUCAGUCGAGAAGAAAAGAUUGUGACUAAUAAUCACAAUUCAUGACGGUAUCGACAGAAGAAGCACCGGCUAACUACGUGCCAGCAGCCGCGGUAAUACGUAGGGUGCAAGCGUUAAUCGGAAUUACUGGGCGUAAAGGGUGCGCAGGCGGCUUUGUAAGUCAGAUGUGAAAUCCCCGGGCUUAACCUGGGAAUUGCGUUUGAAACUACAGAGCUAGAGUGUAGCAGAGGGGAGUGGAAUUCCAUGUGUAGCAGUGAAAUGCGUAGAGAUAUGGAAGAACAUCGAUGGCGAAGGCAGCUCCCUGGGUUAACACUGACGCUCAUGCACGAAAGCGUGGGGAGCAAACAGGAUUAGAUACCCUGGUAGUCCACGCCCUAAACGAUGUCAACUAGUUGUUGGGCCUUAUUAGGCUUGGUAACGUAGCUAACGCGUGAAGUUGACCGCCUGGGGAGUACGGUCGCAAGAUUAAAACUCAAAGGAAUUGACGGGGACCCGCACAAGCGGUGGAUUAUGUGGAUUAAUUCGAUGCAACGCGAAAAACCUUACCUACCCUCGACAUGUAGCGAAUACUCUAGAGAUAGAGUAGUGCCUUCGGGAAUGCUAACACAGGUGCUGCAUGGCUGUCGUCAGCUCGUGUCGUGAG